rnacentral:rRNA from 1 species
UGCAAGUCGAGCGGUAGAGAGAAGCUUGCUUCUCUUGAGAGCGGCGGACGGGUGAGUAAUGCCUAGGAAUCUGCCUGGUAGUGGGGGAUAACGUUCGGAAACGGACGCUAAUACCGCAUACGUCCUACGGGAGAAAGCAGGGGACCUUCGGGCCUUGCGCUAUCAGAUGAGCCUAGGUCGGAUUAGCUAGUUGGUGGGGUAAUGGCUCACCAAGGCGACGAUCCGUAACUGGUCUGAGAGGAUGAUCAGUCACACUGGAACUGAGACACGGUCCAGACUCCUACGGGAGGCAGCAGUGGGGAAUAUUGGACAAUGGGCGAAAGCCUGAUCCAGCCAUGCCGCGUGUGUGAAGAAGGUCUUCGGAUUGUAAAGCACUUUAAGUUGGGAGGAAGGGUUGUAGAUUAAUACUCUGCAAUUUUGACGUUACCGACAGAAUAAGCACCGGCUAACUCUGUGCCAGCAGCCGCGGUAAUACAGAGGGUGCAAGCGUUAAUCGGAAUUACUGGGCGUAAAGCGCGCGUAGGUGGUUAGUUAAGUUGGAUGUGAAAUCCCCGGGCUCAACCUGGGAACUGCAUUCAAAACUGACUGACUAGAGUAUGGUAGA